ACCUGACGUGGCCUGAAGAGACAGACAGUGGCUCUUGCUAGCUAAUUAUUGUCAGAUGGAUCGGCAGCCGACCAACGCUUCUGAAACUAUUGUUUUUGGCAAAUGUUCCUCAACAUUUUCCUGGGAUGGGAUUUCACCAUGUUGUCCAAGCUGGUUUUGAACUCCUGGGGUCAAGAAAUCCA
ensembl:lncRNA novel transcript